CAACAAUCGCGUCUCUACCCUCCAGUUGUGUACAUACAACGGAAAGCUGCCUCCGACACCGUCCUCGGAGGCAUCAAAGUACCCCAGGGAACAAUCAUAUCAAUCCCCAUUGGCAUGCUACAUCGAGACAAGGAAGUUUGGGGCCCCGACGCCAACGAGUUCAACCCCAUGAGGUUCGAGCAGGGCGUCACAAAGGCUGCCAAAGACUCCAAGGCGCUCUUGACUUUCUCUCUAGGCCCGAGAGUGUGUACUGGUCAGAACUUUGGCAUCGUGCAAGUGCAGGUUGUCAUGGCAAUGAUCCUCAGCAAGUUCUCCAUAUCCCUCUCCCCGGCAUAUGUUCACAAGCCAAAGUAUCUUCUGUCUUUGACACCCAGGCUAGGGAUGCCUCUCAUUUUGAGGAAUCUACUAUAG
rnacentral:rRNA from 1 species